rnacentral:rRNA from 1 species
AUUGACCGCUAGCGGGAUGCCUUACACAUGCAAGUCGAACGGAGUGGCGAACGGGUGAGUAAUGUAUCGGAACGUGCCCAGUAGCGGGGGAUAACUACGAGAAAGCGUAGCUAAUACCGCAUACUAUUGGAGCGGCCGAUAUCGGAUUAGCGAGUUGGUGGGGGAACGGCGAACCAAGGCGACGAUCCGUAGCUGGUUUGAGAGGACGACCAGCCACACUGGGACUGAUACACGGCCCAGACUCCUACGUGAGGCAGCAGUGGGGAAUUUUGGACAAGGGGGGAAACCCUGAUCCAGCCAGCCCGCGUGUGAGAGGAAGGCCUUCGGGUUGUAAAGCACUUUUGGCAGGAAAGCGGUACCUGCAGAAUAAGCACCGGCUAACUACGUGCCAGCAGCCGCGGUAAUUC